GAUGAACGCUGGCGGCGUGCUUAACACAUGCAAGUCGAACGGAAAGGCUCCUGCUUGCAGGGGUACUCGAGUGGCGAACGGGUGAGUAACACGUGGGUGAUCUGCCCUGCACUUCGGGAUAAGCCUGGGAAACUGGGUCUAAUACCGGAUAGGACGAUGGUUUGGAUGCCAUUGUGGAAAGUUUUUCGGUGUGGGCUGAUCUCGCGGCCUAUCAGCUUGUUGGUGGGGUAAUGGCCUACGAAGGCGUCGACGGGUAGCCGGCCUGAGAGGGUGUACGGCCACAUGGGGACUGAGAGAGGGCCCAGUGGCCAACGGGGGGCAGCAGGGGGGAAUAUGGCCCAAUGGGGGCAAGCCUGAGGAAGAGGCGCUGGGGGGGGGAUGACGGCCUGUGGGUGGUAAACUCCUUUCGCUAGGGACGAGGCGCAAGUGACGGUACCUGGAGAAGAAGCACCGGCUAACUACGUG
rnacentral:rRNA from 1 species